rnacentral:misc_RNA from 1 species
GUGAAUCAUCGAAUCUUUGAACGCAAAUUGCACUCUCUGGCAUUCCGGAGAGUAUGCCUGUUUGAGGGUCAGUUUAAAUAAAAAUCGAGGUGUUGCUGUUUUGUGACCCAUCGGAAUUGGGUUAUCUUUGACCUUUUAAAAAGUUUAAGUGACCUAAAAUUGAUACCUUGUGCAUCUCAGACGUACAUAAGAAUAUUUUUUUAUCCUUCGGGAUUUCCAAAUUUUUUUUUAGUAAUGGCCAUCUU